rnacentral:rRNA from 1 species
UAGCGAUUCCAACUUCAUGGGCUCGAGUUGCAGAGCCCAAUCCGAACUGAGACGGCUUUUUGAGAUUUGCGAAGGGUCGCCCCUUAGCAUCCCAUUGUCACCGCCAUUGUAGCACGUGUGUAGCCCAGCCCGUAAGGGCCAUGAGGACUUGACGUCAUCCCCACCUUCCUCGCGGCUUAUCACCGGCAGUCUCCUUAGAGUGCUCAACUAAAUGGUAGCAACUAAGGACGGGGGUUGCGCUCGUUGCGGGACUUAACCCAACAUCUCACGACACGAGCUGACGACAGCCAUGCAGCACCUGUCUCCGGUCCAGCCGAACUGAAGAACUCCGUCUCUGGAGUCCGCGACCGGGA